rnacentral:rRNA from 1 species
ACGCUGGCGGCAGGCUUACACAUGCAAGUCGAGCGGAGAUGAGGUGCUUGCACCUUAUCUUAGCGGCGGACGGGUGAGUAAUGCUUAGGAAUUUGCCAUUUAGUGGGGGACAACAUUCCGAAAGGAAUGCUAAUACCGCAUACGUCCUACGGGAGAAAGCAGGGGAUCUUCGGACCUUGCGCUAAAUGAUGAGCCUAAGUCGGAUUAGCUAGUUGGUGGGGUAAAGGCCUACCAAGGCGACGAUCUGUAGCGGGUCUGAGAGGAUGAUCCGCCACACUGGGACUGAGACACGGCCCAGACUCCUACGGGAGGCAGCAGUGGGGAAUAUUGGACAAUGGGCGGAAGCCUGAUCCAGCCAUGCCGCGUGUGUGAAGAAGGCCUUAUGGUUGUAAAGCACUUUAAGCGAGGAGCACUUUAAGCGAGGAGGAGGCUACUAGUACUAAUACUACUGGAUAGUGGACGUUACUCGCAGAAUAAGCACCGGCUAACUCUGUGCCAGCAGCCGCGGUAAUACAGAGGGUGCGAGCGUUAAUCGGAUUUACUGGGCGUAAAGCGUGCGUAGGCGGCUUUUUAAGUCGGAUGUGAAAUCCCCGAGGCUUAACUUGGGAAUUGCAUUCGAUACUUGGGAAGCUAGAGUAUGCGAGAGGAUGGUAGAAUUUCCAGGUGUAGCGGUGAAAUGCGUAGAGAUCUGGAGGAAUACCGAUGGCGAAGGCAGCCAUCUGGCCUAAUACUGACGCUGAGGUACGAAAGCAUGGGGAGCAAACAGGAUUAGAUACCGUGGUAGUCCAUGCCGUAAACGAUGUCUACUAGCCGUUGGAGCCUUUGAGGCU